GAUGAACGCUGGCGGCGUGCCUAAUACAUGCAAGUCGAGCGAACAGAUGAGGAGCUUGCUCCGCUGACGUUAGCGGCGGACGGGUGAGUAACACGUGGAUAACCUACCUAUAAGACUGGGAUAACUUCGGGAAACCGGAGCUAAUACCGGAUAAUAUAUUGAACCGCAUGGUUCAAUAGUGAAAGACGGUUUUGCUGUCACUUAUAGAUGGAUCCGCGCCGCAUUAGCUAGUUGGUAAGGUAACGGCUUACCAAGGCAACGAUGCGUAGCCGACCUGAGAGGGUGAUCGGCCACACUGGAACUGAGACACGGUCCAGACUCCUACGGGAGGCAGCAGUAGGGAAUCUUCCGCAAUGGGCGAAAGCCUGACGGAGCAACGCCGCGUGAGUGAUGAAGGUCUUCGGAUCGUAAAACUCUGUUAUUGGGGAAGAACAAAUGUGUAAGUAACUAUGCACGUCUUGACGGUACCUAAUCAGAAAGCCACGGCUAACUACGUG
rnacentral:rRNA from 1 species